ACGGGGGGAGCAAGCGUUGUUCGGAUUUACUGGGCGUAAAGGGCGCGUAGGCGGCCUCCGCAAGUCAGUUGUGAAAUCUCCGAGCUUAACUCGGAAAGGUCAACUGAUACUGCGGGGCUAGAGUGCGGAAGGGGCAACUGGAAUUCUUGGUGUAGCGGUGAAAUGCGUAGAUAUCAAGAGGAACACCAGAGGCGAAGGCGGCCUACAGGGCUGCACCUGACGCUGAACCGCGAAAGCUAGGGGAGCGAACGGGA
rnacentral:rRNA from 1 species